rnacentral:piRNA from 1 species
AACAUCAACGACUUUUCUGCUGG